rnacentral:rRNA from 1 species
UACGGAGGGGGCUAGCGUUGUUCGGAAUUACUGGGCGUCAAGCGCACGUAGGCGGCUUUGUAAGUUAGAGGUGAAAGCCCGGGGCUCAACUCCGGAAUUGCCUUUAAGACUGCAUCGCUAGAAUUGUGGAGAGGUAAGUGGAAUUCCGAGUGUAGAGGUGAAAUUCGUAGAUAUUCGGAAGAACACCAGUGGCGAAGGCGACUUACUGGACACAUAUUGACGCUGAGGUGCGAAAGCGUGGGGAGCAAACAGG